GACGAACGCUGGCGGCGUGCUUAACACAUGCAAGUCGAACGGAAAGGCCUGCUUUCCCUUGUGGAUUGCGGGUACUCGAGUGGCGAACGGGUGAGUAACACGUGAGUGAUCUGCCCCCAACUUGUGUAUAAGCCUGGGAAACUGGGUCUAAUUCCCGAUAGGACUGCAGGGUGGUGCCUGUGGUGGAAAACGAUUUUCUAGUGGUUGGGGAUGAGCUCGCGGCCUAUCAGCUUGUUGGUGGGGUAAUGGCCUACCAAGGCGGGGACUGGUAGCCGGCCUGGGAGGGUGGACGGCCACAUUGGGACUGAGAUACGGCCCAGACUCCUACGGGAGGCAGCAGUGGGGAAUAUUGAACAAUGGGCGGAAGCCUGAUGCAGCGACGCCGAGUGGGGGAUGACGGCCUUCGGGUUGUAAACUCCUUUCGACCGCGAGGAAGCCACCUGGUUGGAAGGGUGGUGACGGUAGUGGUAGAAGAAGCACCGGCUAACUACGUG
rnacentral:rRNA from 1 species